ACCGCGCCCCGACUUGAGUGGAGCUCUUUUUGUCAUUGCGUUUGCUGAAUCGUUCUAUGGAUUGCUUCCCGUCUUUCGCAAUGGCAAAAAAGCGGGAACGGAAGGCGGAUAAAGGC
rnacentral:misc_RNA from 1 species